rnacentral:rRNA from 1 species
GACGAACGCUGGCGGCGUGCCUAAUACAUGCAAGUAGGACGCAGUUGCGAACGGGUGAGUAAUGCGUAGGCAACUGCCUAUUAGAGGGGGGUAACUAUUGGAAACGUUAGCUAAUACCGCAUACUAGUUGAUGGAUCUGCGUUGUAUUAGCUAGUAGGUAGGGUAAUGGACUACCUAGGCGAUGACACAUAGCCGACCUGGGAGGGUGAUCGGCCACAAUGGGACUGGGACACGGCCCAGACUCCUAAGGGAGGCAACAGGAGGGAAACUUCGGCAAUGGGGGGAACGCUGACCGAGCAAAGCCGGGGGGGUGGAGGAAGUUUUCGGGACGGAAAGCUCUGUUGAUAAGGAAACGGUACUUAACCAGAAAGCGACGGCUAACUACGUGCCAGCAGCCGCGGUAAUUC